GAAAAGUCAAUAUUUGGUCACCUUGUAGACCAGGGGUGCCCAAACUCGGUCCUGGAGGGCCGGUGUCCUGCAGAGUUUAGCUCCAACCCUAAUCAAACACACCUGAACCAGCUAAUCAAGCUCUUAUAGGCAUACUAGAAACUUCCUGGCAGGUGUGUUGAGGCAAGUUGGAGCAAAACUCUACAGGACACCGGCCCUCCAGGACCGAGUUUGGACACCGCUGUUGUAGACUACAAUAAACCUUUUGUACUCUCUUUAUAGGACCUUAUAUGUAGUCAAGUGAGUUUGCAUAAACAGUAUGCUAUUACAAGAGCUUCAGAGACAGACUGAAGUGUAGUUAUAGCGGAUGUCUAAUGAUUUCACCGUUGUUUGUUUCUGUAGCAAUGCUCCUGACUUCGCAGUCCUCUCGAUUCACGCCUGGCUUCACAUAAAAUUGCGGAAGACGGAACAAACAAACAAGGCCUGGAGUCCCACUGUGAAUGGCACUGAUUUCAUAUGCUGUAGAUUUGUUGUAGUUGUUUAAGCCCCGAACUCUAGCUGCAGAUGGUGAGUCUGAGUCUUAAUGGAGCAGCUCUUGAACCUUGAUCCCUUCUCCUCCCCUUGUCCCUUAAAAGCCUCUUCUCAAUACCCCUGCAGGCUGUAAGGAAUCUCAACAUCUGUCAGCAAUGCACACUCCCCUUAUGUUCCCAUGAGAUGUGAAUCAAUAUAAAGCACUCUGUGAAAUACAUCUCUGUUCAUUUGUUUAGGUAAUAAUUUAUUUUAUGUCUUAGAUUGAUCCAUGUGCAUUAAUUAAUUUGUCUGUAAGUUGUUUAGUUAAAUUAGUGCUAUACAUACAGAAUAUAGAUAUUUUUUCCCAAUAUAAUCACAUUUCAGAUCAGUAUGGAAUCUAAUUAUAAUCUAAUGCUGUAAUGUAAACAUACAUUAAUAAAGAAUUAAAGGUACACUCCCCCCAAAAAUUAAAAUUGUCAUCAUUUACAACCUC
rnacentral:lncRNA from 1 species